rnacentral:rRNA from 1 species
GACAGCAGUAGCCACGGUAAUACGGAGGGUGCAAGCGUUAUCCGGAUUUAUUGGGUUUAAAGGGUCCGUAGGCGGACUUAUAAGUCAGUGGUGAAAGCCUGUCGCUUAACGAUAGAACUGCCAUUGAUACUGUAAGUCUUGAGUAUAUUUGAGGUAGCUGGAAUAAGUAGUGUAGCGGUGAAAUGCAUAGAUAUUACUUAGAACACCAAUUGCGAAGGCAGGUUACCAAGAUAUAACUGACGCUGAGGGACGAAAGCGUGGGUAGCGAACAGGAUUAGAUACCCCUGUAGUCCCUGUCUCUUAUAA